UACGAAGGGGGCUAGCGUUGCUCGGAAUUACUGGGCGUAAAGCGCACGUAGGCGGCUUUGCAAGUCAGAGGUGAAAGCCCGGGGCUCAACCCCGGAAUAGCCUUUGAGACUGCAUCGCUUGAACAUCGGAGAGGUAAGUGGAAUUCCGAGUGUAGAGGUGAAAUUCGUAGAUAUUCGGAAGAACACCAGUGGCGAAGGCGACUUACUGGACGAUUGUUGACGCUGAGGUGCGAAAGCGUGGGGAGCAAACAGG
rnacentral:rRNA from 1 species